rnacentral:rRNA from 1 species
GAUGAACGCUGGCGGCGUGCUUAACACAUGCAAGUCGAACGAAGCACUUUAUUUGAUUUCCUUCGGGACUGAUUAUUUUGUGACUGAGUGGCGGACGGGUGAGUAACGCGUGGGUAACCUGCCUUGUACAGGGGGAUAACAGUUGGAAACGGCUGCUAAUACCGCAUAAGCGCACGGCAUCGCAUGAUGCAGUGUGAAAAACUCCGGUGGUAUAAGAUGGACCCGCGUUGGAUUAGCUAGUUGGUGAGGUAACGGCCCACCAAGGCGACGAUCCAUAGCCGACCUGAGAGGGUGACCGGCCACAUUGGGACUGAGACACGGCCCAAACUCCUACGGGAGGCAGCAGUGGGGAAUAUUGCACAAUGGGCGAAAGCCUGAUGCAGCGACGCCGCGUGAGCGAAGAAGUAUUUCGGUAUGUAAAGCUCUAUCAGCAGGGAAGAUAAUGACGGUACCUAACUAAGAAGCACCGGCUAAAUACGUG